GCUCAGUUGGUUGAAUGUCCGACUUCAGCUCGGGACAUGAUCUCAUGGUUCGUGAGUUCAAGCCUCACAUUGAGCU
rnacentral:tRNA from 1 species